rnacentral:rRNA from 1 species
UACGGGGGGAGCAAACGUUGUUCGGAAUCACUGGGCGUAAAGGGCGUGUAGGCGGCUGGAUAAGUGGGAUGUUAAAUCCCCCGGCUCAACCGGGGACCUGCAUCUCAUACUGUUCAGCUCGAGCACAUCAGAGGAGACUGGAAUUCCCGGUGUAGCGGUGAAAUGCGUAGAGAUCGGAAGGAACGUCGAUGGCGAAGGCAGCCACCUGGCAUAAUACUGACGCUGAGGCGCGAAAGCGUGGGGAGCGAACAGG